CAGAAUGUAGCUCAGUAGUAUAGUGUGUGCUUUGCAUGCACAAGGACCUGGGUUUGAAACUUAGCACUCCAA
rnacentral:tRNA from 1 species